AGAGUUUGAUCCUGGCUCAGGACGAACGCUGGCGGCGUGCUUAACACAUGCAAGUCGAACGGUGAAGCCCUUCGGGGUGGAUCAGUGGCGAACGGGUGAGUAACACGUGAGCAACCUGCCCUUGACUCUGGGAUAACUCCGGGAAACCGGAGCUAAUACCGGAUAGUACUCCUGCGGGCAUCUGUGGGGGUGGAAAGUUUUUCGGUCAAGGAUGGGCUCGCGGCCUAUCAGCUUGUUGGUGGGGUGAUGGCCCACCAAGGCGACGACGGGUAGCCGGCCUGAGAGGGCGACCGGCCACACUGGGACUGAGACACGGCCCAGACUCCUACGGGAGGCAGCAGUGGGGAAUAUUGCGCAGUGGGCGGAAGCCUGACGCAGCGACGCCGCGUGAGGGAUGAAGGCCUUCGGGUUGUAAACCUCUUUCAGCAGGGAAGAAGCGAAAGUGACGGUACCUGCAGAAGAAGCACCGGCUAACUACGUGCCAGCAGCCGCGGUAAUACGUAGGGUGCAAGCGUUGUCCGGAAUUAUUGGGCGUAAAGAGCUCGUAGGCGGUCUGUCGCGUCUGCUGUGAAAACCUGGGGCUUAACUCCGGGCCUGCAGUGGGUACGGGCAGACUAGAGUGCGGUAGGGGAGACUGGAAUUCCUGGUGUAGCGGUGAAAUGCGCAGAUAUCAGGAGGAACACCGGUGGCGAAGGCGGGUCUCUGGGCCGUAACUGACGCUGAGGAGCGAAAGCAUGGGGAGCAAACAGGAUUAGAUACCCUAGUAGUCC
rnacentral:rRNA from 1 species